rnacentral:snRNA from 1 species
AUUCUUGCUUGGGCAAUGAUGCAGCUACUGAGGUAUAACUGAGGUGCGUCAAUUGCUGGUUGAAAACUAUUUCCAUUAUUUCUAUCAUUCUUUUUGUGUAUUCAUAUUAGUGCACCAUUAAUUUUGUCAUUGUUUUCAUUCA